rnacentral:lncRNA from 1 species
AGGAUACAAGGAAAAUAUGAGAACAACAGGGAAAUACUGACAACCUUAUCUAUACAUAAGGGUAAAAAGGUCAAUACAACCAAGUCAACAGAAUAUUCGAAUAAACAGAGUACAAAGAAAAAGAAUCCCAUCCAACAAGCCUGGAGGUGAUUCUCAACAAAAAAGAUCCAAAGACGGAGUACAAACAAAUGAAUCCCAUCCAACAAGCCUGGAGGUGAUUCUCAAUAAAUACAAACAAAGAUACAAUCUAAGA